GGCCGGUUAGCUCAGUUGGUUAAGAGUGUCGUGUUAAUAACGCGAAUGCCACGGGUUUGACCCCCAUACUGGCCC
rnacentral:tRNA from 1 species